rnacentral:misc_RNA from 1 species
GAUGAAGAACGCAGCGAAAUGCGAUAAGUAAUGCGAAUUGCAGAAUUUCCGUGAGUCAUCGAAUCUUUGAACGCACAUUGCGCCCACUGGUAUUCCGGUGGGCAUGCCUGUUCGAGCGUCAUUUCAACCCUCAAGCUCUGCUUGGUAUUGAGUCCAUGUCAGCAAUGGCAGGCUCCAAAAUCAGUGGCGGCGCCGCUGGGUCCUGAACGUAGUAAUAUCUCUCGUUACAGGUGCUCGGCGUGCUUCUGCCAAAACCCCAAUUUUUCUAUGGUUGACCUCGGAUCAGGUAGGGAUACCCGCUGAACUUAAGCAUAUCAAUAAGCGGAGGA